UUUUUUCAUUUGUAUUUAGGUCUGUGCCUGUGUCUGAUAUACGGAGAGAAAGUAAGAGAGUAAAACACGAAUUUUGGCCACCAUUCAAAUCAAAUGAUCUGCAGUGCUUCAGGUGAGUCACAAGUAUUGACCUGAAGGAACCAUUAGGGUGUGUGUGUGUGUGUGUGUGUAUGUUUGUUCCCCACCGCCUCUUGACAAUCAGUGUUGUAUCAUUUACCUCCCCAUAACUUAGCAGUUCAGCAUAAGCGAUCAACAGAUUAAGUACCAGGCUUAAAAAAUAAGUACUGGGCUCAAUUCCUUCAACCAAAACCCUUCAAAUCAGUGCCCCAGUAUGGCCACAGUCCUUUGACUGAAACAUUACGUACUAUCUUUAUAAACGGUAGCAUAAACUAAAAUGUGUGUGUGUGUGUGUGUGUGUGUGUGUGUGUAAAGCUGCGACCAUGCCAGCAUUUGUUCGUCCAUAAUAAAUCUAAAAGUACGUUAUCCAAUGUGACAUUCCAUUUGUUAUGUUGAGGUAUGAUUUGAGGGAGAUUUAUUUAACUGCUAUUUCUAACAUGCUGAGCAACAGCGUUGAGACUUCUUCGUUGGAUCGGUGAGGAGGCUAAACAGGGGUGGAGGAAAAGAGAGAGGCGAGCGGCAAAGGGAGUGGUGGGAGGAAUGAUGAAAAGAAACAAUAAUGGUGAGAGUGGGAGAAAGAUAGCGAGAGAGUAGAAAAGGAGAGAGAAGAGUCAUAAGGGAAUAAAAAGAAUGAAAAAAUAGAGGGAGAAAGGGGGAGAGAAGGAUGAAGAAUGCAAGAAGAGAAACACAUGACCAGAAUUGAUACAUGACAAUUAGGGUGAUGAUGAUGAUGAUGAUGACGACGACGACAAUGGCUAUUUGUCAUCAUCAUCGUCACCAUUAUUAUUAUUAUUAUAGGGUAACACAUUGAAAUAUGACGUUGUGACAUUCAUGCUGUCUCCAAAAUUAUUGAGGUACAGCGCAGUAAAUUCAUUCUGAAUGAAGGAGAAUCAAAAUAGGUUGUGACGUUCCAAUGAUGAUGGCGGCGGAGAGUGUGAUAGCGAUGAUGGAAGCGAUAAUGGUGGUGAUGGUGGUGACGACGGCGAAGGCGAUGAUGAAGAAAACGGAUGAUUAUAGCAAUGAUGUCGAUAACGAUAGAAGUGAUAACAGCAAUGACGAUAGCGAUGAUGAUGACAACGACGACGACGGGAAACAGAAACGAACCCAAACGACGAACACUUGCUGAAUAUCAGUGAAGAAAUUAGAAAAAUUGGAGGAGAAAUACUUGAGAAAGAAAGAAAAGACAAAUGAUUGAAUGAAAGUGGCAAAUAAAAGAGGAUGAGAGUCAGAUAAGUUGAUAACAGCAAGGAUGAUGAUGACGACGAUGUUUAUAUUGCUGACAAGUGGUAGCAGAGGUAAUAGAGAUAGAUGAGUGAUGAUGGUUGGUGGUGGGAAUAAAGUUAAUGAGUGAUGGGAUGGCGGGAAGGAGGAGGGGGUACGACACUUGAUGAUGAUGGUGGUGGUGAUACGGGAAUGAUGGUGGGAGGAGGGGAGAGCAUAAUGAUAAUGAAGAACAAUAAUGAUUUUGACUGGCGAUGAUGAUGAUGAUGUAUGUCGUUGAAUAAUGGUAGUGGUGGUGGUGGUAAUGAUGCUGACGACGAAGGUGAACGUCGCUGAGCAAUGAUGGUGACAGCGAUGAUCAUAUUAUAUAUUGACCACGAAUGACGAUUAAGUCGAAUACGAAAAUGAUAGUGGAACUUCAACAAGAACAAUACAGAUGCCUCUACAUCGUUUCAACAACGAGAUGAAGUGAAAUAACAAAGAAAUGAAAUGAGAGGAGAGCGAGUUGAAACGAGAGUUGUUGCUGUUUAACCCUAAGCCAGCCUUGAUUGUGCCAACCUAUGAUCAAAGGGUAUCGCAGCGGCGGCUAUAAAGUUAUCUAUUCUGCGAUAUUGCAUCUAGGACCACUUUAUUCAAUGAGCCAUUAUUUUUUAAGACAGUAGGGUGUCGUUUGAUGGAGAUGCGGCUGCUAUUUCUAGCACGUUCGGUGACUGCGAAGUGGCUACCUCGAUGGCUUGUAUGAGUGAAGGUUAGAAAGAUCACUUGCUAGCGUGAUCAAUAUGGGCAAGUGGAUUAUUGCACUGUUUUCGUUUAUUCGUUUAAUGUCGUGUGAACACAAUGACGUAUUGAUGAUAAUACAGUAAAACAGACAACACUGACAAUGUACAAGGGAGAGAGAGAAAGGCAUAUAUAUAUAUAUAUAUAUACCCAUACAUACAUAAAUACAUAGAGAAUGGGAUAGAAAGACAGAGAGAGAAGGAGGAGGCUAAGAGAGAGAUGGAGGGAGAAAAGCAGAUGAUUUAAUGAGGAGGAGGAGGUUGAGAUGAUAGGAAUGAUUGAAUGGAGAAAGUAGAAAGAUGUUGAGUGUGAAUGGAAAAACAUGAAAAACUGGAGUAGAAGGAGAGGGGUAGCUAGACAGUAAGAGAGAGGGGGAGUCGGAAGAAUGAAGAGAGUAACAACACUAAGAGUAGGAUAUAGAAAGGAGUGUAAGGAGGGGGAGAGAAAGAUGGCAUGUAUUAAAGAGAGCGUGCUGUUAGAAAUUAAUGGGAGGCGGGGUAAAGUACAUGAACGAGGGAGAGAGGGAGAAAAAUUAGUUGAAUCAACAGACUUCAAGGAAGACGACGGCAGAUAAUAUAUACAGAGGAUGUGUAUGUAGAAGAGAGAGUCGUGGAAGGAGUGAGUUGAGAAGCGGAGGGGAAAAAAAAGACGAAAAACAAAAAAAAACGAUGAAUGAGUGAAAGAAUAAAAGAGAAUGAGUCUUUGAAUUAGUGAGUGACAGGUGAAGGGAUGGGGGUUAAAUGGAGUCAGAAACAAGCAAAUGGGAACAAAGUGUUUAUAUGAAAUAAAGAUUUAAAAAAAACGAGGUAACACGGGGAAAAUAUACAAUUAUAUAUACACAUAUAUACACCCAGUUCAGUGGAAAAGACCUCUACCGUGUAAAUAGGUGUAAAGAGAGAGAUUCUGUAAAGUACAGAGAUAUAUAUAUAAUCAAUGGAAAUUAUACAGAAAAAAAGGAAUUAUAUAUAUAUAAUGCGGGUGUAUAUGUAUACAUGUGUGUGAAUACAUGUAUAGUUAUUUAGAUAUAUGUUUAUACGCAUACACACGUUUUUAUGUUCAUUUAUGAUAAAAAAAAUAAUUGUACAUUAAUCUGAUGGGUUACUCUACACUUUUAUGGAAUACGAAUUCCUUCUUAAACAAAAAUAUUACUUCUGACAGCGACUUCGAAGUUUCGGCCAGUUAACCCAUCGUCGGACUGCAGUGUGUAUGUGUGCGUGUGCAAGCGUGGUAGUGUGGUAAGAAGCUUGCCUUCCAACCACAUGGUUCCAGGCUCAGUCACACUGUGUGACACCUUGGGCAAGUGUCUUCUACUAUAGUCACGGGCCGACCACAGCAUUGAGUGUAUUUGGUAGACGGAAACUGAAAGAAGCCCAUCGUGUAUGUAUAUAUAUAUAUAUAUAUAAAUACAUAAUAAAUUUUAAAAAAUCGAAGAACCAACACAAGAUAAGGACAUGGUACAUGCAAAGUAUUAGCAGACACUCAGGGAAUGGAAAGAAAGAUAGCUUUACAUUUCGAACACAAUGCUCUUCUUCAGAAACAGGAGAUGGAGAGAAGUCCAAGAGAAAAAGAAGAUGGAGGAAAAAUAUCGACGAUUCCCAUGUGGUUUAUAUAUAUAUAUAUAUACAUAUAUAUAUAUAUGUAUAUAUAUAUAUAUACAGGGUGUCCCAAAAAAAUGUAUACACAUAGUGGUUCAGCAAAAGAGAAGGAUAGAAUAAGUACUAGGCUUACAAAGAAUAACAAAUUAUUUAAGGUGUGUAUACAUUUUUUUGGGACACCCUGUAUAUAUAUAUAUAUAUAUAUAUAUAUAUAUAUAUGUGUGUGUGUGUGUGUGUGUGUGUGUCCCCACAACCAAUGCUGGUGUGUUUAUGUCCCCCGUAAUCUAGCGGUUUGGCAAAAACAGAACGAUAGAAUAAGUACCAGGCUUACAAAGAAUAAGUCCUGGGGUCGAUUUGCUCGACUAAAGGCAGUGCUCCAGCAUGGCCACAGUCAAGUGACCGAAACAAGUAAAAGAAAAGAAGAAUAUAUAUAUACAUAUACGCGCAUCACAUGCACCUAGAUCAGUGGAAAAGACCUUUAUUGAGUGAAAAGUAUGACAGACACACUGUAAAGUAUUGUUACGAACAUAAAUCAAUAAAACAUGGGAAAUAUGCAGAGUAAAAGAAGAGGAAUAUCUCUCACUCUCUCUCUAAUUAUAUAUACAUAUAUGUAUAAAUAUAUCAUCCUCUUCACUGGACUUGUUGGACAAGUCAUGCAGAGUAUAUUGUAACACAUCUUCUAGAGGUCGAUGCCCUUCCGGUCACCAACCCUCAUCUAUCUCCAAGCAAGGUAAUAUUUCCCCCCCUGUUUUUUCCAUGGAAGACUGGAAACAAACAAUGCUGCUUGUGAGGAUAAUGAUACUCGUUAACAACCAUCAUGUGAUGACAGGUCAAAGGUACACACACACACACACACAUAUAUAUAAAGAAGUCUAUCAUAUAUAUACAUAUAUAUAUAUACACACACACACACACAUAUUUACACUAUAUUCUUUUAUUUGUUUCGGUCAUGUGACUGUGGCCAUGCUGGAGCACUGCCUUUAGUCGAACAAAUCGACCCCCAAGACUUAUUCUAACCGAUUAUGGCCUCCUCUGGUCCCUGUGCCGGUGAUACGUAAAAAGCACCCACUACACUUACGGAGUGGUUGGCAUUACAAAGGGCAUCCGGCUGUAGAAACACUGCCAGGCCUGGUGCAGCCUCCUGGCUUCCAAGACCCCAGUCGAACCAUCCAACCUAUGCUAGCAUGGAAAACGGACAUUAAACAAUUAUGAUGAUGAUGAUAUAUACAAGAGGUAUUGGUAUCUAGAAGACCCAAAGAGUUCAUAGUUUUGAUAGUGAUUCAAGUGAGGAGUCUAAUGGUGUGGGACCUGAAUUAGCAAGCAUAUAUAUAUUAGACAAAUAUACAUAAUAUCCCAGAAACAGGUGUAAGAUUAUAUCUAUAUCUUUUUCUUUAUAAAUGUCCUGAAAACUCAUAGCCUUGGCUUUGUUAUCUCAUUUUGUCUUUUAUAUAUAUAUAUAUAUAUAUAUAUGAAGCUUUACAUAUUGUUGUAUGGUUAUCGACUGCUAUUUCCAGCAAACAUUGAUGCCUUGUUGUGCCAUUAUUUCCUAUUUAUAAUUCUACCUUUAUGAUGCUUUAUUUAGCUGGAAAAUAACACUAUUGUAUUGUAAUGAUAUUUAUAAUUUUUAUAUAUCUAAAUUUGUGUAUAUCUAUGUGUGUGAGUCUGUUGCCCAACACGGUUGUCAAGCAGUGGUGGGCGACAGACUCACACAUCACUGCUUGGCAACCGGUAUUGGUGUGUCUAAAUCCCCACUGAACCAUUUUGAAGGAUUGACUCUAGAGAGAAUUAAAUGAGUGAAGUUCUAAAUAAACCAUUUUAUUGGGGUUAAAACAAUAAAAAUCUCUCAGAUUAAUUAUUCAAGGCUUCUCUACAUUUUAUUGUAUUGCAUCCCUGAUGAGCCAGCAUCACUAAACAUUAUAGUGAUCCGCACAAGUUAAUCCUUUAAAAUUUAAACCAGCUAUAUCAGACCCAAAUAUUCUGCCUUAUGUCCAGUUUAGCCAGAUCUGGCUUCUCACACUUACCCUACCGUGUCAUUCUAAAAAGAAACUAUCCCAUCAUCGAAAUCUCAAAGCUAUGCUGGUGGCACGUAAAAAGCACCAUCUGAAUGUGGUCGAUGCCAGCGCCCUUCGACUGGCUCCCAUGCCAGCAGCAGGUGAAAAGCACCAUCCAAAUGUAGUUGAUGCCAUUGCCACCUGACUGGCUCCUGUGCCGGUGGCACGCAAAAUGCACCCACUACGCUCUUGGAGUGGUUUGUGUUAGGAAGGGCAUCAAGCCGUAGAAACAUUGAAAGAUCAGAUUGGA
rnacentral:lncRNA from 1 species